ACAAGUAGCGGAGCAUGUGGUUUAAUUCGAAGCAACGCGAAGAACCUUACCUAAGCUUGACAUCCCAAUGACAUCUCCUUAAUCGGAGAGUUCCCUUCGGGGACGUUGGUGACAGGUGGUGCAUGGUUGUCGUCAGCUCGUGUCGUGAGAUGUUGGGUUAAGUCCCGCAACGAGCGUAACCCUUGUCUUUAGUUGCCAUCAUUAAGUUGGGCACUCUAGAGAGACUGCCAGGGAUAACCUGGAGGAAGGUGGGGAUGACGUCAAAUCAUCAUGCCCCUUAUGCUUAGGGCUACACACGGGCUACAAUGGGUAGUACAGAGGGUUGCCAAGCCGUAAGGUGGAGCUAAUCCCUUAAAGCUACUCUCAGUUCGGAUUGUAGGCUGAAACUCGCCUACAUGAAGCUGGAGUUACUAGUAAUCGCAGAUCAGAAUGCUGCGGUGAAUGCGUUCCCGGGUCUUGUACACACCGCCCGUCACACCACGGGAGUUGGAGACGCCCGAAGCCGAUUAUCUAACCUUUUGGAAGAAGUCGUCGAAGGUGGAAUCAAUAACUGGGGUGAAGUCGUAACAAGGUAGCCGUAUCGGAAGGUGCGGCUGGAUCACCUCCUUUCUAAGGA
rnacentral:rRNA from 1 species